GGCGGGUUGCCCGAGCGGCCAAUGGGAGCGGACUGUAAAUCCGUCGCGAAAGCUACCGAGGUUCGAAUCCUCGACCCGCCACCA
rnacentral:tRNA from 1 species